rnacentral:snoRNA from 1 species
CUGCAAAUAAGCAAAGUCUAGUCUCAUUUUAGUGGUGGGACUUUUAAGCAUUGGUGCACAAAGGAAAAGCUAUUUUUCAGCAGCGGCCAGACAACCGUAGAAAUGGAUCCACAGAUCAAUGAUUUAAAAUGUCUUUUGUCUACUGAUUCCAUCUCACAUUU